GCCUAUGGAGAUGUGGCGGAGGGAGGCCCUGCCUCUGGGUCCGGGCAGGAGAGCAGGAGAGCAGGCCUGGGGAGGGGAAGCAAGGCACGUGGGGGUCUGCCCACCGUCCUCCGUGCUCAACCGCCCCCCUCUGAAAUAGAGGCACGGACACCUUCCUUUCCCUGUUUUUUUCCUUUUGAAGCAGCACACACACCACUCUACGAGGUGGGCCAGAUUGUAGUGUGUAUGUACCUAGGAAAUGCUUGAAGAUGCUGAGGUCAGUGGCAACAGCUGAUUAGGAGAUCACCCUGUUAGCAUGGAGGAUCUAAUGAUAUGGGACUCUGGCUUCAAUGUAUGCUGUCGAUUGUGCCACACAGAGUGGUACUCAGGCCUACAGAUCUGUAGUGGGUGACAGGAGGCAAAGCCAUAGAUGGAAGGAGCCUGGAGUCUCUGAGGCCAAACCUCGGAGAAGUCCACCAGGGAGAGCCACCCAACCAGCAUCAGAAUGUGAAGUGGACUAGAAAUAAAACAGUUGUCUUAAGUCACUGAAAUUUCAGGGUUGUUUUUGUUGCAGAGGCUCGCAUU